AUGGCCGCGCCCUUCGCCAUGGCCGAACGCGACGGGGCCGAGCACCGGCGCUACUACGACAGGGGGCCAUGGCCUGCGAGCUCACAGGCCAGGGCGGCCAUGGCUUACGAGCUCGAGGCAUGUUACUUACAACUCCAGAUUUGCUUCCAUGUUUGUUUUUGCUGGAACCAGUGUACUAAUUUGUUACCACCGUCUUCAUUUUUUGCUGGAACUAACCAAAUUUUGCUGCCAUGUCGUUUUGCUGGAAUCAUUUUGUACCACUUUUUUGCUACAACAGUUUUGGUUUUUUGCUACUACCAGCACUGUCGUUUGUUACAUCCUUUUUCAUGA
rnacentral:rRNA from 1 species